rnacentral:rRNA from 1 species
UACGAAGGGGGCUAGCGUUGUUCGGAAUCACUGGGCGUAAAGGGCGCGUAGGCGGCUUUAUAAGUCGGGGGGUGAAAGCCUGUGGCUCAACCACAGAAUUGCCUUCGAUACUGUAGAGCUUGAGAUCGGAAGAGGUAAGUGGAACUGCGAGUGUAGGGGUGAAAUUCGUAGAUAUUCGCAAGAACACCAGUGGCGAAGGCGGCUUACUGGUCCGGUUCUGACGCUG